rnacentral:rRNA from 1 species
AUGAACGCUGGCGGCGUGCCUAAUACAUGCAAGUCGAGCGAACAGACGAGGAGCUUGCUCCUCUGACGUUAGCGGCGGACGGGUGAGUAACACGUGGAUAACCUACCUAUAAGACUGGGAUAACUUCGGGAAACCGGAGCUAAUACCGGAUAAUAUAUUGAACCGCAUGGUUCAAUAGUGAAAGACGGUUUUGCUGUCACUUAUAGAUGGAUCCGCGCCGCAUUAGCUAGUUGGUAAGGUAACGGCUUACCAAGGCGACGAUGCGUAGCCGACCUGAGAGGGUGAUCGGCCACACUGGAACUGAGACACGGUCCAGACUCCUACGGGAGGCAGCAGUAGGGAAUCUUCCGCAAUGGGCGAAAGCCUGACGGAGCAACGCCGCGUGAGUGAUGAAGGUCUUCGGAUCGUAAAACUCUGUUAUUAGGGAAGAACAAAUGUGUAAGUAACUAGGCACGUCUUGACGGUACCUAAUCAGAAAGCCACGGCUAACUACGUGC